AAAAAUAUAGCUUAAUUUAAAGUGUUUUAUUUACACUGAAAUGAUCAUUGUUAAAAUGUAUUUUUA
rnacentral:tRNA from 1 species